rnacentral:rRNA from 1 species
AGAGUUUAAUCUUGGCUCAGAACGAACGCUGGCGGCGUGGAUUAGGCAUGCAAGUCGAGCGAGAACCGGGUUGGGGGCAACUUCAACUGGGGACAGCGGCGAAAGGGUGAGUAAUACGUCGUCAACCUACCCUGCAAUCGGGGACAACACUCGGAAACGAGUGCUAAUACCGGAUAGUUUCUUGGAAUCGCAUGAUUCUGGGAAUAAAGAUAGCUUCGGCUUUUGCUGGAGGAGGGGUCUAUGUCCUAUUAGCUUGUUGGUGGGGUAACGGCCUACCAAGGCAGUGAUGGGUAGCCGACCUUAGCGGGUGACCGGCCACACUGGGACUGAGACACUGCCCAGACUCCUACGGGAGGCUGCAGUCGAGAAUCUUCCACAAUGGACGAAAGUCUGAUGGAGCGACGCCGCGUGUGGGAUUGAAGGCUUUCGGGUUGUAAACCACUGUCACAGGUUAGGAAAUGUCUGAGCGUUAAUAGCGUUCAGACUUGACAAAGGCCUGGGAGGAAGCCACGGCUAACUUCGUGCCAGCAGCCGCGGUAAGACGAAGGUGGCGAGCGUUGUUCGGAAUCACUGGGCAUAAAGCGCGCGUAGGCGGUCUUCUAAGUUGGAUGUGAAAUCCCUCGGCCUAACCGAGGAACUGCGUCCAAUACUGGGAGACUUGAGGAGUGGAGAGGUGCAUGGAAUUCCUGGUGGAGCGGUGAAAUGCGUUGAUAUCAGGAGGAACACCGGAGGCGAAGGCGAUGCACUGGCCACUUACUGACGCUGAGGUGCGAAAGCUAGGGGAGCGAACGGGAUUAGAUACCCCGGUAGUCCUAGCCGUAAACGAUGAGCACUAGGUGGGGGGGUACCUAACAUUUCCCUGCUGGAGUUAAUACAUUAAGUGCUCCGCCUGGGGAGUAUGGUCGCAAGGCUGAAACUCAAAGGAAUUGACGGGGGCUCACACAAGCGGUGGAGCAUGUUGAUUAAUUCGAAGCAACGCGCAGAACCUUACCUAGACUUGACAUGGAAGUGGUAGUGAACCGAAAGGGGAGAGACUUCUUUUUGAAGGAGCUUUCACAGGUGUUGCAUGGCUGUCGUCAGCUCGUGUCGUGAGAUGUUAGGUUAAGUCCUAUAACGAGCGAAACCCCUAUCGUUAGUUGCCAGCGUGUAAUGGCGGGGACUCUAGCGAGACCGCCGGUGUUAAACCGGAGGAAGGUGGGGAUGACGUCAAGUCCUCAUGGCCCUUACGUCUAGGGCUUCAAACGUGCCACAAUGGUGAAUACAAAGGGAUGCGAAAUCGCGAGGUCAAGCAAAUCCCAGAAAAUUCAUCUCAGUUCGGAUUGUAGGCUGCAACUCGCCUACAUGAAGCUGGAAUCGCUAGUAAUCGCGGAUCAGCUACGCCGCGGUGAAUAUGUUCCUGAGCCUUGUACACACCGCCCGUCAAGCCACGAGAGCUGGUAGUGCCCGAAGUCGCUAACCCAACCCUAGAGGAGGGCGGCGCACGGUAAGGCCGGUGAUUGGGACUAAGUCGUAACAAGGUAACCGUA